CCUACGGGAGGCAGCAGUGGGGAAUUUUGGACAAUGGGCGCAAGCCUGAUCCAGCCAUGCCGCGUGUGGGAAGGAGGCCUUCGGGUUGUAAACCACUUUUGUCAGGGAAGAAACGGCUUUUUCUAAUACAGAGAGCUAAUGACGGUACCUGAAGAAUAAGCACCGGCUAACUACGUGCCAGCAGCCGCGGUAAUACGUAGGGUGCAAGCGUUAAUCGGAAUUACUGGGCGUAAAGCGUGCGCAGGCGGCUUUGCAAGACAGAUGUGAAAUCCCCGGGCUCAACCUGGGAACUGCAUUUGUGACUGCAUGGCUAGAGUACGGUAGAGGGGGAUGGAAUUCCGCGUGUAGCAGUGAAAUGCGUAGAUAUGCGGAGGAACACCGAUGGCGAAGGCAAUCCCCUGGACCUGUACUGACGCUCAUGCACGAACGACGGUGGGGAGGACGAACGAGGAGUAGUAUACCGUACGGUAGUACCGACCGACCCGUAAACCGACUAGUCUAACGUAGGUUGGUUGGUACGGUCGUUCGUCGUGUUCGUA
rnacentral:rRNA from 1 species